rnacentral:tRNA from 1 species
CGGGCUGUAGCGUAGUAGCCAACGCACCUGCCUUGGGAGCAGGGGAUCGCGGGUGCAAGUCCCGCCAGCCCGACCA